GUCUUAUUAGCUUAAUUAGGUGGAGCAGUCGUUUUGUAAUCGACAGGCUAUAGGUUCGAUUCCUAUAUAAGACA